ACAGGAGCCCCAGCCCCACACAGCAACCACCCGGGCGAGAAAGAAAGAAAGAGCCAGGGAGGCGGGCGAAGCGCGGGGAGAGAAGCAGAGAAGAAAUAUUCACCUUCCCGCCUCAUGCCCACUUUGAGGCACUUCUUGAGGCGGCAGUAUUGGCACUGGUUGCGGUGGUGCUGGUCGAUGGGACAGUUCCUGUUGGCACGGCAUGUGUAAGUUAAGUUCCUGCGGACGCUCCUCUUGAAGAAACUUUUGCAGCCCUCGCAGCAGGUAGAUGAAACUCAAGAGAAAAGGUGUGGAUAAAUGAAACUAGCCCAUGAUGAACCUGUUUUCUCCGUGACCACAAUAUUAACCAGGAUGAAUGGCGGUGGCAGUGGGCCUGCAUCACAGGUUGCAGCAGAUGUUCUCAAUAUUUCUAUUAAAAUUUCCUUAUUUCCAUAUGCAAGAGGAGCCCCAGAGCUGCAUCCUUAUGGUAGCUACCAUGCCGUGAUGUAAGCUGCCAUUCACUGGGGAGCUUUGGCAAUAGAAUUGGCUAGAUCAGGAAGCCUAUGUCAACUAUGGAACAACAACUUGCAGCUCAUCUCUAUUGAUGGUGAAACAGUCGCAAAUGGAAUUCCAAGAAACAUUCUAUAUACACUGCCUCUAGGACUGGGACAGAUAGCCACUGAGUACCUGCUUCAAAUCACCCUGCACGUUUUCUCUUUGGAAAGAUAAGCACUGGAGAACCAUCUCGUUACCUUCAGCAGAAAUGGAAACAAAUCAAGACAUUAAGAAUGCCGCAGUGGACAGCAGUUAUGCAAGGUUCAGCAGAGGAAGUUUUCAAGAUGGUGUGCCUCACUAGCCAGAAAUCAGAAAAGAUCGAAGCUAGCCUUUUCAUCUCAGCUGCUCCUUAAAUCAGUGCAACCCCUCCAAAUUAAUGUGAAUUGAAACUUGCAUUGCUUUUCAACUUAAUUGAAUACUUACUAUAUGUGAACCACUGCACAAAAUAGGGGAAGAAGAUGUGGGAGACAAAGAUGUGGAGCCUGUCUUCAAUAAAUUUACAGUUAGUUUCAGGGUACAUUGUUUUUCUUCUGCUGUUAAUUAGGUGUAUCCCCAAGACAAUAAAUACAUGAAUGGAAAAGUAUAUUCUGUGUUUUAAGUCUCUUUAAUAAAAAACAAAACAAAAUCCAAAAAAACUCCUAACAUGGCAACUCAGGACAUUUUAAUCCUUUUUUUUGUUGUUGGGCUUCUGAUAGGAUCCAUUUUAUUGAUUCCAUAAAUAUUUAGUAGACUUUAGACAUAUUAAUACAUUGUAGUUUGAGUUAAUUUGCAUUAAAUUCUGUUUUUUUCCCCUUAGGUAUAGAUUGUCUGUUGGAAAAAUAUAUUGCUUGUGGAUUUCUUGGGGAGUGGGAAGGUGAAUUAUACCUGUUGUCUCUACAGUCCACUACCUUCCACACCCUAGGGCAGUGGUCCCCAACCUUCUUGGCACCAGGGAUCAGUUUCCUGGAAGACAAUUUUUCUGUGGAUGGUGUGGGGAUGGUUUUGGGAUGGAACUGUUCCACCUCAGAUCAUCAGGCAUUAGUUAGGCUCUCAUAACGAGUGCGCAGCCUAGAUCCCUCACAUGCACAGUUCACAGUAGGGUUUGCGCUGCUAUGAGAAUCUAAGGCUGCCACUGAUCUGACAGGAGGCAGAACUCAGGUGGCAAUGCUUACUGGCCCACUGCUCACCUCUUGCUGUGCGGCCUGGUUCCUAAUAGGCCAUGGACCCCCACAGACGGGUACUAGUCUGCAGCCUGUGGACCCCAGCCCUAGGGGCCUGCCAUUCUGAGUGAGUUAUUAGCAUGAAGAAGAGGAAGAUCUGGAUCAAACGUGGGUGAUGGUACUCAGAGACCCAAGAUAGGAUAGGGAUGGAACAAAAUCCAUCUGGGCAACGGCUCUAUGAAAAUUUGGCUAAGUAAUUAUUUCAGUAUUCAUUGUAUUCAUUGUCCUUCGUGUUCCAUAAGUUAAAUGACUGUCUAAUUUUUCCAAAAAUUUAUUUCUGACUUGAGAAUAAGUGUGUCAUGAUUUUCCCAGUGUAAAGACACUGAUAUAACUGUAGAUACCAGACAUUUUAUGUAGUGUCUAUGACACAUUUUAGUAUGUAUGAGCCAACAAUAGACAUGUCUUUGUCUUGAGGAGUGUCCAUCUGAAUUGAAAAUGUGUCAGCUUUUUUUUAACAUCAUCAACAGACUUCUUAAUUAAGCUGCCAAUACAUACUGCCAAUAGCACUGUGUGCUGUCUGAGAAAUGCAUUGUGUAAGUGCUAUUUCCAUCUUAUUAAAUAAACAAUGUUGCUCUGUAUAAACUGGAUUUAAAGUGUUCUUUGAAUGAGGCAUUAUAUUGCUCCAUAAAUAAUGUGAUGUGAAUUCUCAUAUGAUCCCUUUUAACUUAAUUUCUAAAAAAAUAUUAUUUGCUCCUCAGUAAGGAAUAGCUCUAAUUGGACUGGUAACUUUAGUGAUAUGAUUUGUCUGUAACAGGCUGAAUCGCCCCACUCCCAAACUCCUGGUCGUGAUACUGGAUAUUUGUUAUGCCACUUUUAGUUUGCAUGAGGUAUCUUCCAGGAAGUAUUAGUUAUUAACUUGUGUUCUACUAAACUGUAGAUAUUUAUUUCCUGUUCUGGAAGAUUUCUUGGAGUGUCCAUCUGUGCAUUCCUGGUGCCUAGUGUAGUCUUGCUAAUGGAAUAGCACCUUUAUUGGUGCUACUUAGGGGUUGGUAGCUUACAAUCAAUCUACUUGGAACGUAUCCAAAUAAACUGGAUAUUUUUAUACA
rnacentral:lncRNA from 1 species